UACGGGAGAGUGCAAGCGUUAUCCGGAUUCACUGGGUUUAAAGGGUGCGUAGGCGGGCAGGUAAGUCCGUGGUGAAAUCUCUGAGCUUAACUCAGAAACUGCCAUGGAUACUAUUUGUCUUGAAUAUUGUGGAGGUAAGCGGAAUAUGUCAUGUAGCGGUGAAAUGCUUAGAUAUGACAUAGAACACCAAUUGCGAAGGCAGCUUACUACACAGUUAUUGACGCUGAGGCACGAAAGCGUGGGGAUCAAACAGG
rnacentral:rRNA from 1 species